GACAGAGGGUGCAAACGUUGUUCGGAAUUACUGGGCGUAAAGCGUGUGUAGGCGGUCCGCUAAGUCGGGUGUGAAAGCCCUGGGCUCAACCCAGGAAGUGCACUCGAAACUGGCGGGCUAGAGUACUGGAGAGGUUGGUGGAAUUCUCGGUGUAGAGGUGAAAUUCGUAGAUAUCGAGAGGAACACCGGUGGCGAAGGCGGCAUCCUGGACCGGUAUUGACGCUGAGGCGCGAAAGCCAGGGGAGCAAACGGG
rnacentral:rRNA from 1 species